rnacentral:rRNA from 1 species
GGGUUGUGAGGUUAAGCGACUAAGCGUACACGGUGGAUGCCCUGGCAGUCAGAGGCGAUGAAGGGCGUGCUAAUCUGCGAUAAGCGCCGGUAAGGUGAUAUGAACCGUUAUAACCGGCGAUACCCGAAUGGGGAAACCCAGUGUGACUCGUCACACUAUCAUUAACUGAAUCCAUAGGUUAAUGAGGCGAACCGGGGGAACUGAAACAUCUAAGUACCCCGAGGAAAAGAAAUCAACCGAGAUUCCCCCAGUAGCGGCGAGCGAACGGGGAGGAGCCCAGAGCCUGAAUCAGCAUGUGUGUUAGUGGAAGCGUCUGGAAAGGCGCGCGAUACAGGGUGACAGCCCCGUACACAAAAGCGCAUGUGCUGUGAGCUCGAUGAGUAGGGCGGGACACGUGGUAUCCUGUCUGAAUAUGGGGGGACCAUCCUCCAAGGCUAAAUACUCCUGACUGACCGAUAGUGAACCAGUACCGUGAGGGAAAGGCGAAAAGAACCCCGGCGAGGGGAGUGAAAAAGAACCUGAAACCGUGUACGUACAAGCAGUGGGAGCCCCACCACUAAGCCAGUGGUGAACUCCACAUACGCAUCCUUUGCUGAGGAUACGGUUAAGGGAGCGAAAGCGACGUUCAACCGCAAAAGAAGCAGAGGGGGCUUAGUGGUGGGGUGACUGCGUACCUUUUGUAUAAUGGGUCAGCGACUUAUAUUCUGUAGCAAGGUUAACCGUAUAGGGGAGCCGUAGGGAAACCGAGUCUUAACCGGGCGUUAAGUUGCAGGGUAUAGACCCGAAACCCGGUGAUCUAGCCAUGGGCAGGUUGAAGGUUGGGUAACACUAACUGGAGGACCGAACCGACUAAUGUUGAAAAAUUAGCGGAUGACCUGUGGCUGGGGGUGAAAGGCCAAUCAAACCGGGAGAUAGCUGGUUCUCCCCGAAAGCUAUUUAGGUAGCGCCUCGUGAACUCAUCUCCGGGGGUAGAGCACUGUUUCGGCUAGGGGGUCAUCCCGACUUACCAACCCGAUGCAAACUGCGAAUACCGGAGAAUGUUAUCACGGGAGACACACGGCGGGUGCUAACGUCCGUCGUGAAGAGGGAAACAACCCAGACCGCCAGCUAAGGUCCCAAAGUCAUGGUUAAGUGGGAAACGAUGUGGGAAGGCCCAGACAGCCAGGAUGUUGGCUUAGAAGCAGCCAUCAUUUAAAGAAAGCGUAAUAGCUCACUGGUCGAGUCGGCCUGCGCGGAAGAUGUAACGGGGCUAAACCAUGCACCGAAGCUGCGGCAGCGACACUGUG